rnacentral:rRNA from 1 species
AUGGAAAGCUAUGGAAGAAAGGUUCUUGUUGAUUAUAACUACCAUUGGCUGCAGCAAGAAAAACAAGCUUACGCAAAACUUUCAGACAGGUUGUCAGAAACAACAGAAGAAAUCAAUCAGCGCAAUCAAACCAUCAAACAGGUGACUAGAGAAGCAUCCAAUUAUCUAGAAGAAGUGCAUGUUGCAUCAAACAAAAUCCACACCCUUGCUGAUGCUGCCUUAGACCCUGCUGCCGGCCUCUCUCUUUCCACUCUAAAACAAGCUAUUCUACAAAUUCAAAAUGCAACUGUUGCUCUCCAGAGCACUACAGCCGCUGCACGUAUUUCACUAGAGGAAAAGGGCAUAUACUCAGAGGAUAAUGUGCCUGAACCAGUCUAUGAUGGUCUUUCUGAUGAAGAAACCAAUGAAGAUUAUCAUCAGGACAUGGAUGAUGACUGCGCUCAUUACGUGCGAUCCCCAUAA